GGAGACACUUCUGGAGAGACCGCCCUUUUAUCGGAGGCGCCGAAGGAUUCAUUAUCUCAGGCAGCAGGACAGGAGCAGCUUC
rnacentral:ncRNA from 2 species